CCUACGGGAGGCAGCAGUGGGGAAUAUUGGGCAAUGGGCGCAAGCCUGACCCAGCAACGCCGCGUGAGGGAAGAAGGUCUUCGGAUUGUAAACCUCUGUCCUUGGGGACGAAAAAAAUGACGGUACCCAGGGAGGAAGCUCCGGCUAACUACGUGCCAGCAGCCGCGGUAAUACGUAGGGAGCGAGCGUUGUCCGGAAUUACUGGGCGUAAAGGGUGCGUAGGCGGCCAGGCAAGUCAGAUGUGAAAUCCCCGGGCUUAACUCGGGAGUUGCAUUUGAAACUGCUUGGCUUGAGUGCAGGAGAGGAAAGCGGAAUUCCUAGUGUAGCGGUGAAAUGCGUAGAUAUUAGGAGGAACACCAGUGGCGAAGGCGGCUUUCUGGACUGUAACUGACGCUGAGGCACGAAAGCGUGGGGAGCAAACAGGAUUAGAUACCCGUGUAGUCC
rnacentral:rRNA from 1 species